UACAGAGGUCCCAAGCGUUGUUCGGAUUUACUGGGCGUAAAGGGCGCGCAGGCGGCUCAUUUUGUCAGGCGUGAAAGCCCCGGGCUUAACCUGGGAACUGCAUCCGAAACUACAAGUCUUGAAUGCUUCAGAGGUUGGUAGAAUUCCAGGUGUAGGAGUGAAAUCCGUAGAUAUCUGGAGGAAUACCGGAGGCGAAGGCGGCCAACUGGGAAUGCAUUGACACUGAGGUGCGAAAGCGUGGGGAGCAAACAGG
rnacentral:rRNA from 1 species